AAAAGUUCUUCCAUGAACCUCCAUUUUGGGGAGGCUCUCAGACCUUCUAAAUUUCCAUGGAAUAUGUACUCAAGAAAAAACUGAUGAAAAGUAACAAACCACUUAUUAUCAGAUUUUGGACAGGCUAUGGAGUUUAUCGAAGGUUGUAACUGAGCAGGCUAUGUCAUGCUGAUUAUGUUGGGGGACUGAUGAGGAGAAGAGAAGAGAAAAUUGAUUUCUGCAUAUAUGGGAGUGAGAAUCUUGGGGUAAACAAAAUGAGAUGUGUAACUGUGUAAAAAGACUAGAGAAUGAAUGUGGCACAUGCAGCAGAAACCGUCUCAACAAUGGAAAAGACAAUCAGAUCUGAGCAAGAGCUUGCAGUGCUUUGGGUUCCAGCUGCAACGAUUCUUUCCUGGAAAAAAAAAAACAGAAUUAUGUCAUUUUGGGUACACUUGAUUGUUCUGCAGGUGAAGAAGUAAUCACAUAUGACUGUCUUCCUCUUUUUUCCAAAGUCAUUUCAGUUCUACAGGCUCAAAGAUCUAAAAGAGAACUUACAGACUACAUAGUUUAACCCUUCUUUGAACAGAUAAUAAAACUGAGGAAGUGACUUCAUCAUAGAAAAUCUGCAACAUCAAGGAGACUUAGAAGCUAUUUAUUCCAACAUUUGUAAGUUAACAGAUGAAGAAAUAAAAGCCAAAUAAGAUUGAG